CACGUAGGGGGCAAGCGUUGUCCGGAAUCAUUGGGCGUAAAGCGCGUGUAGGCGGCCAGAAAAGUCCGCUGUGAAAACUCGAGGCUCAACUUCGAGCUGUCGGUGGAAACUUUCUGGCUAGAGUCCGGAAGAGGAGAAUGGAAUUCCUGGUGUAGCGGUGAAAUGCGCAGAUAUCAGGAAGAACACCCGUGGCGAAGGCGGUUCUCUGGGACGGUACUGACGCUGAGACGCGAAAGCGUGGGGAGCGAACAGG
rnacentral:rRNA from 1 species